rnacentral:lncRNA from 1 species
CGCUUUACAUGCAUUGGGAAAUUAGCUGUAAAACCAACAUACAGAUAGCCGUUAUAUCCUGAGAAGAGAUCACGAUGAAAUUUGAAAGUUAAACAAAUCUUAUAGUUUUCACGGGAACGAAUAUUUUGUUUAAACGUUGUAGUGAUCAGCUCAUCAAUGACGUAAUUUAAAAAAUAAGACGACAAGGUCGAAAAUAGUCAUAGACGUCUUAUAGCAAAUAAACUCAUCAAAGAUACCAGGACUAAAUUUUGUAUAUACGCCAGACGCGCGUUUCGUCUACAAAAGACUCAUCAGUGACGCUCAAAUCCAAAAAAGUUAAAAAGGCCAAAUAAAGUACGAAGUUGAAGAGCAUUGAGGACCAAAAUUCCUAAAGGUUUUGCCAAAUACAGCUAAGGUAAUCUAUGCCUGAGGUAGAAAAGCAAUUAUAGGCAACAAUACGGCCUUCAAUAACGAGAAAAACAUUGCCAUAUAGUCGACCGAUCAUUAAAAGGCCCCGACAUAAAAAUGUGAUUUUUAUUAAACAGAGUGAAUUCAUAUAAGCUUACAGAAAAACAAAAAAGUCAGUUAUAAAUAAAAAUACGGAUAAACAAUUCUUUUUUUUCAGCUAUCUUAUGAUCAAAAACAAGCUUCUGUCCUAGUUUAGUAGAAAUCCAGGAUAGUUUAAGAAAGUUAUUAGAGUUUCAAACACUUUAACCACAAAGUGAAUAUUUG